ACCUUUAUCUCAGCGGAAGCCCAUCUUAUUUGCAUACCAAACGGAGAUCAGCCGACGACUAUUCUAUUAUUAUAUAUUUGUAUUUAUAUUAAUUAUUAAAAAAAAAACAUUCUCGGCAUUCAUUUGUAUAAAAGGAUUAGCUUCGCCACUUUACAACUUAGUUUAUAGUUGACUUCGUCGUAUUCAGCAGACAUGAAAUUCUUUAUUUUCUUCGCUUUGUUGCUGGUCCUUUUAGGCACCGCUUUGGGUGAUGUAAAACAUAAUAAUAAGGAACAAUCACACCAAAAACAACAACCAAGCCCAAGCCACGGCGCCCAACCCCAAACAGCCGGACACCACAAGGAUGCCCACCAUGGCCACUAGAUAUGCCUCAACAUUGAAUGUAUGCGAUUGGAGUAUUUCUAAGCAAAGUACUUGGUUUGAAUAAAUAAAAUAUUGCAUAAUCUGAUUUAAACAA